GAAAUGCGAUAAGUAAUGUGAAUUGCAGAAUUCAGUGAAUCAUCGAAUCUUUGAACGCACCUUGCGCUCCCUGGUAUUCCGGGGAGCACGCCUGUUCGAGCGUCAUGAAGCUAUCAAACAUCUAGUUUUUUUAAUUAGAUGGUUGGAUUUGGACUCUGCUGUGUAACAAACGGCUGGCCCGAAAUUUAUUAGCUGAUCCUAGUGAGACUUGGUUCUACUCGGCGUGAUAAUUAUCUAACGUUGAGGACAUCGCAAGAUGGCCAGAUCAAACUUUGCGGAUUGCUUCUAAUCGUCUUCACAGACAAUUUAUUAUCAAUCUGACCUCGAAUCAGGUGGGACUACCCGCUGAACUUAA
rnacentral:misc_RNA from 1 species